rnacentral:rRNA from 1 species
UAGUCCACGCCCGUAAACGAUGGAUGCUAGGUGUCGGGACCUUAAGGUUUCGGUGCCGGAGCUAACGUAUUAAGCAUCCCGCCUGGGGAGUACGGUCGCAAGAUUAAAACUCAAAGGAAUUGACGGGACCCGCACAAGCGGUGGAGCAUGUGGUUUAAUUCGAGGCAACGCGAAGAACCUUACCAGCCCUUGACAUCCUGGUCGCGGCUCUAAGAGAUUAGAGCUUUCAGUUCGGCUGGACCAGUGACAGGUGCUGCAUGGCUGUCGUCAGCUCGUGUCGUGAGAUGUUGGGUUAAAGUCCCGCAACGAGCGCAACCCUCAUCCUUAGUUACCAUCAGGUUAAGCUGGGUACCCUAAGGAAACUGCCGGUGUCAAGCCGGAGGAAGGUGGGAUGACGUCAAGUCUUCAUGGGCCCUUAUGGGGCUGGGGCUACACACGUGCUACAAUGGGUAGUGACAAUGGGGCAGCGACCCCG